ACCUUUUGAUGCACACUCACACCUCCACUAGCAGGGAACGGACUUACCUGAAACUGCAAAUGUUGCUUCAUCAACACCAACUCACCAAAGUCGGUUGACACGAGGAUAUCGUUGAGAGAGCAGCACACACUAAGUUGUCAUUUUCGUCGAUGAAGAAACGAUCAUCUCGAAGGAGGCUGCCUCACUUCAUGUGGACAAAACUCCACACAAACCCAUCACUCCAAAUUCAGCCGCACAGUUCGACCUGAUCAUCCCAACCCCCUAACACACACACAAACGAUUCCAUCAAGAUGCACGCGCCGGACGAGUCCCCGGCAGCAACAAUUGCAGUCCAGCAAAACUCGAGCAGCAACACACCAACACACGUGAAUGUUUGUUUCGUCGAUUCUCCGUUUCCUCUCGUUCUCAUUCACCUCUAGUGGAGCGGUGUCAUCUUCACACCAAAGAAAACACUUCUCUCCCACUCUCUCUUUUAAUUCACUUUUGAAUGGAACUGUCAAUCUUCACACAAAACGGCGACGCAGAAAUACUCCAAAAUCCUUCGAAAAACUAAAUAUUCCUUGGAACUUCACUAACUUCAAUUAGCUUGGCUAUUAAACUAUAAGAAGAACAACUUUUCGAUCCGCAGCACGCCAAAAAAACACCGAAAAUCUUCGAAUUUCUAGCAGCGAAAAAUCUUAAAAAUGAUUGUUUUGACUUACCUCACGGCCACCGGCUUAUCGGCAACCGAUGUAACCAGCACGGUCGAAUGUGACGUCGAUAUCGGCGGAAUCUGUGGAAUAGCCGGUGCAAUGCCUCCUGCUAUUCCACCCACAAUCCCGCUGAUGAGUCCCGGCAGAACUUGUCCUAUGACGGCGGGGAUGAUUAUCUCCGCGCUAGUUAUGGAAGUAAUAUUUUAAAUUUAUUUCAAAAAUCACAACAAGCCGAAUGGAAAUACCCAGGAAACGUUUUCGCUUCUUCUCCGCUGCUUUGACCGCACAAAACCGCCCCAAAAACGGUAAUAAACGUAAGGAUUUGCA